ACACCCGCCAGAAUUCAGUUUUGCACCACAGUUAGCACUGAUUUAUGGGAGUCGAAUAGGGUUUUAAGUGGGCUUUAAGCUAAGCUAGCAAUUGGAAUUAGUUUAAGUAGCCGGCGGCAAGUCAACGACCUGCGACAGUGCAGUUCAAAGUCAAAAAGUCAAUUAUACGGAUACCUAAAAAUACAACAGCGGGUGGAGUGAAAAUCUCGUUAAAAGCCAAUAACAGACGCCAUUAAAUGUGCAUGAAAAUUAAAUGAAAACGGCUUGAUGAUGAGGUUGCCUGCGGGAGGAGGAACUCGUAGCAGCCACGCGACCACUUGAACUUGGGCGGGAAUAUCAGUAUUUGUGUGCAGUAAUUCGAACUGACCUCGUCGAGCAUUCAGAUCCAAUUGGAGGGCAAGUUCAAUGGCAUUGGGGAUUCCAGGGGGAGUGGGGAUCGAGGGCCGCAGCGAGAUAAGGGAACUUCGAUAAGUUUAAUUUAUUCGACCCCACUGCCAUCUGUUGCGAUAUAACCAACACUUAUUUAAUCAACGCGAUAGGAAUAGGCUCGUGCUGUAAUUAUAGAUCGGAUUAAAAACCAUCGAACAUGGAGGCUCAAUUCAAAAUGAGCAUUCGCAGACAUUUUGCCACAAACAUGUCACAUUAGAACGCCCAAUUUCACGAGAACAAUUAUGACCUAGCACCGCCGAAGGUGAUCCUAAUAAUUGCACCAAUAUGCUUCGGUAAUCGUUUUGAGGCCAGACUCUCCCAGGACUCGAAGGCCGCCUUCCCGAAACUACAAAAAAGCACAUUAUCACUUCCCAUUGGACCGAGAUGACUUCAUUUUCGUGCCAUAUGCCUGUGCCGGUGCUGUACUUGUGGUUCCACCCGCUCCUCUUAAGUCGCUGCCAUGAUUUACUACAAGCAGAUGAUUUAAUAUAACCGCAUAUCUGGAUAUAGAAACACGCACACACCCGGCCAGAGUGCACUUCAGAUGCAUUCGACUGUAUUCGACUGCACUGGAAACAGGAACCCGUUGAACUGGCCCACAAACAGAGGCAGACACCCCACACAUGUUGUCAGUGAAGCGUCCGUUUUGGAGGAAAAACGGGACGACUGUUAAAGGGCCUCCAUCUUGAAAACAGACGCCUCUAAGAGGCGGCUCCGCAAGACGAUAACUCAAUUGAAUAUUUCAACAAAAAAGCAAUUUACAAAUGGGUUAAUACUUUUAACUAUACUAAUACUGUAACUAAAGGGUAAUUUAAAUAUAAUUAUAGAUUGUGAUCGGCUAGAAUUUAAAAUAUUUCCUUCUAUUUAUUAACAUUAUAUUAUGAUCGAGAAAAUAUUUAAUAAAUCGUUUCUCCUGGGUUAAAAUCAAAAAAAUUUCAUAUUACAUUAUUUCGAUUUCCUUAGCUAUCAACCAAGUUAACUAGUGGAAUAGUUGGGGAGAAAUUGUUUACAUUUGGUUGGCAUAUGGGUAGAAAUUGGUUUUGAAAACAAAUAAAACUAAACAAAAUAAAAGCCAUCAAAAUGAACUUCUGGCAGUGCGUAAAUCUAGGCGUCAACGAGCUGCGACCUGACCGAAGUGCUCAUCAAGAUGCUGGCCAA
ensembl:ncRNA lncRNA:bxd bithoraxoid